GCGUGCGACCCAUCAACCUACUAGCAAUGGGGGAGAAAACAUAACAUGUCGCAAUAAAAGCUUGAUUCGAGGCGUCAGCAAAAGACUGCCGUCUGUUCCAAAAACAAAAGCCCCUUAGCGCCCGGGGACGGGAGUGGAGGGCGGCCCUACGCGCAGGCAACAGCAGCACCGGCUCUACGAAAGUCAGAAUCGAAUAUCGAAUCUUUCUGUUGGCUUUCCCAAUUCAUUCGUGAAUAAGAAUUCAAGGGCGUGAAGCGAGUGCUUCUAGCUGCUUCGCCUGCUUCUUAUUUU
rnacentral:lncRNA from 1 species